AUUUUCACUGAAAUAUGACUGACUUGACCAAAUGAUAAGACCUCUAUUAUCAAUCAUUAGUUUCGCAUUUACUAUCUAAUAUUUGAUAUGCAAAAUUUAUAAAUCAUGUACAUAAUGUCAAACUUCACUUUUAAGCACACAUUCUAAUGGAUCCAAAAGUAUUAUCAACAACCCAUUUAUAAAUAAACCGUUUAUAAAUUCUUCCAAACGGACUUUGUACUUCAAUUUUUUCCUGUACUAUUUUAUGACCCUCUAAAAGUUAUUAUUGUCACUUGGGUGUAAUAGCUAUAUGUUUUGAUGCUAAGCAUAAAAUCUAAGUAUUAUUGUCACUUCCCGUCGAUUUUCGGUGAUUUUCUUCCACUUUUAUUUGUUUAAUUCAACAUGAUGCUAGGCUAAAUCUUUACAUAUUUGCGCACCAUUAGGAUAAUAAAUUGCUUAUUCGUAGUGUUGGAAAACUCAUGGUAGCUAGAGAACUAUUAUUGGGACAUACGGACAAUAAAUAUUAGAAAUAAUAUUUGUGACGUGUAUGAUCAUAUGUGAUAAUCUUAAAUGUCAAUGCAUGUUUGUCAUAUGAUUUCGGACUAGGAGUAGAAUCGUCUUGUGGUAACCAUAUGUUUAUCAUAUCUUAGAAAAGAAUAAUAAAUAAAAGUGAAAUUAUCGAUUGUCGCAAUGGCAAAAAAUUUACAUAGUUAUUACUGGUUGAGAAUUAGAAUUAAGCAUUGAUCAGUGGCGUCAAAAAUCUAAUACGUUGACACAUUUGAUUUUUAAACCAACUUUCAUUGUUUUCGCAAGUUUUAGUUAUAAAAAUUCGUUAGCUAUUCAUUCGAUCUUUUUUAUUACAAACACGAAUUUAAAUAUAUCAAAUAUAUUAGAAUUGAUCAUUAUUUCAUGUGGGACGAUAACUCUCUCAUCAUGAUUAUUACUUGUACAACGAACCCAUAUGUUUGCGAAAUUUUGACGAACGGUGCUUAUUAACUCUAACUUUAACCUAUGUUUGUCUCUUUCUUUUCUACUGCAUUAAAUAUUAGCAUCAAGUUUAGAUUAAAUUGAUUUCAUAUACUUCUAUAACAACUUAAUCUACUUUGGUCCGGUGUAAAUAUAGGUGCUGACCUUUUAUUCUAUUCUGAAAGGGAUUGCUUUUGAAGAAGAAUGCAAAAUUUCUGAACUUUAAGAAUGAUUUUUGUUUUUUGGAAAUGGGAUUGCUUCUAACAAAAUCCAUUGCUUUGAGACCUUUUUUUUUUUGUAAGUCAGUAAAGCUUGUUUAACACGGUCAUCCAUAUUUUAUAGGCUCUUCAACAUCCAAAAGAAGCCCCGAGGUUACGAAAGAAGCUUUUAGCUAAAAUGUUUUUUUUACUUAAGUGUGAGAAGGAAAGAAUUUUAUGAAUAAGAGUGGAAAUGUUAAAGGAAUACACGAGUAUUGAGGCGUUAGAGAUUUCUUAUCUAGUAACGAUUGAUUUUUUUUUGGGGGGGGAGCAAUUCUUGUGAAUUUGACUACAUUAUUACUCCUUGGAAUGUACUUAGCAUUUACCUUGAUCGCGUCUGUUAGGUAUAGAAUUCUUUAAUUCAAAUAUUUUGGUUAAAACUUUAUGUGAAAUAAUGUUUCUGUUAUAUAUUAUUAUUUUAUUUCAAUUAUUUGUGAGUAAGAGGUUGCAAGCAUAAAUGAGAAUAUAGGAAAUGCGCAAGGAAGAGCAUCUCCCAAUUUCAGGUUUGACACUUUUUGGAAUUUAUUUUUCUUCCAUGUUCAGAUGGUUGCUUUAUUUUUUUUUUCCCUUACUUUAUCACAGUUUAACUAAAGAUAUUAAUAGUAUGUUUGAUUGCAAGCAUGAAAUUUACAUGAAAAGAAAAUAAUUUCUAGGAAAAUUGUCAAUUAAAGUGUUUGAUUGAUUUUAUUUUCAACCUAGAAAAUGUUAUAUUUGUCAAUUUUUUAUUAAUAGGUAAAUAGGAGAGAGAGGGAGGGAGUAGAUGAGAGAGAAAAAAAUAAUGAAUUACCUGAAAAAUAAAAAUCUACUCUCCUCGAGGAAAAUAUUUUCCUUGUUUUGAAGGAAAAUAUGGUCAUGUGACCAAAAGUAGGAAAAUAUUUUUCAUGGAAAAAAAUCAAUGAAAAUAGCUAAGAAGUAGGAAUUUGGGUAGAAAAAUAUUGGCAAUUAAACGUACUAUUAAUUUAUAUUAAAACUUUAUCAUGAAGAUUAUACGGCAAAAUGUUUUGUUGGAGCCAGUUAGAAAAUGAGUUAUGUAGUAUAUGAUAAUCGCGCUUACUUGCACGAAAUGUUCAAAUUCUCUGAAAGUGACAAUUAAUUAGGAAAUGAGAGAUUUACUUUUAUGUAAAUCUUAUAGGAAUGUAGAAAGGUCGCCUAUGAAUGAAUUAUAUCGUGUUAAAUAUUUGUACAUAUUGACAUUAAAUAAGUUAAUUUUUUCUGAGUGGAGGCAUGUUGACUAUAAGCCAUUGGAUAAGAGAGUUCAUUUGAUGAUUGUGCAAAAGAGACUAAAAGCUUGUUUGAGAGUAAUUUUUCAUCCAAAAAAAUUGAUCUUUUGAUCGUUAUUUCACUAUUUCAGCUGUGAAGUUUGACUUCUUCUCUCAUGAGUGGUUCUCACUUUUCUCCUAACGGUCACAAAAUCAAUUUUCAAAAUCACUCCCAAACGGGGCCUAAGAAGAAAUUACAGUAGGAUAUACUCGAUCUUGUAUUGACUAGUUUUGAGACUAAUCAAAUUCAUCGCCUUUGUGACCAGAUAUGUUGGCGGUGUGUUUAUCUUGAAAUUGUUAAAUUUGAUUCUUUGAGGAUAUUUAUAUACAUGAGCUGGGACCUUGUCCAAAAAAAGCUUUCUUUAAAGCUACUGAUUAGCUUGGGUAAUAUGAUAUUUAAUUAUUUUCAAUUUUUAAUCGGUCCAUGUUUUUCUAUUUAUCUUAUCAAAUUUAAUCCAUUAGUAUUUAGUAGCAUUUGAAUAUAUGAAAGUGUACAGUAAAUUGCAAGUUCUACCAUAUAAGAUAUUGUAAAAAAAUUGGUAAUAUACCAUCGUUUACGCUUUCUUUAAUUACGACUUUAUCCUCCUCUUAGCAUAUUCUCCUGCUUUGAUCCAAAAAUUGACUAAGGAUAGAAGCAAGCUACAAGCAUUAGCAACCGCUUUCAUUUUAUGGAAAUGGGAUCCCCCAAUAGCUAGAGACAAAAGAUUCAUAUGAGAAAACAUAAGUAAACGGGCCUCCAUGAGCCUCCAAAGAUAAAGGUACAUGAACAGCCAUUUGAUCCCCAUCAAAAUCUGCAUUGAAUUCCUUACAAACUAAUGGAUGUAAACAAAUAGCAUGCACCUUCACUAAAACGGGCUGGAAUGCCUAUAUGCCUAAUCUAUGCAGAGUGGGUGCUCUAAUCAGCAAUACAGGAUGCCCCUGCAUAAUUUCCUGAAGUAUUUCUCAUACAAUCUGUUCUUUUUCCCGAAUUUUACUCUUAGCAACUCCUAUGUUCGGAGCAAGAUGUUGUCUAAUUAGACCAUGAAUUACAAAUGUCUGGAAAAGCUCUAUUGCUAUUUCGCGCGAGAAUCGACAUCGAUGUAAUGAAAGUGAAGGACCCACGACGAUGACGGAACGACCUGAAUAUUGGGUUAUCCUUUUUUUGUAAGUUACUAUUUAACCUCUUUAUUUGAAAUUUUAGAGUGAUGCUAUAUAGCCACAUUCAGUUGCAACCCUAGUUUAGCUGAUCCUAGAUGAUUGGCUAAAUGAAAGGUAAAAUUAAAUGACUUAUUUAAUUUCAUUUAUUAUUUAAUGUCAAGUUAACGCCACCUAGACCGGGGUUGUAACCCUAGUGGGGUUAAUAGGAUUACUCAAAAUUAUAUGGUUGGGAUAUUGCUAUUGCUAUUGUGAUUUUUUUUUUUUUUAAAUUGUGUGAUUGGAAAAGAAGAAAUUUUUUUGGGAUUAUGUAUAAUAUUAUUUUAUUGAAAAAUGUAUAUUUGAUGAGAAGAUAGAGAAAAAUGAAUUAUAAUUUUAAUAGUGCCAAACUUGGGUUAAAUAAUGUAUGCAAGUUGCAGAGCUUGUAAAGAUUGUUUUCUCAGAUGGUAAUAGUCAUUAUCUUUAAUUAUACCAUUUUUUCUUUAAUAUUUAAUUGUAUUUAUUAUGCUGGGAAUUUUUGUGACUUGUAUGGUGAAAAGCAUUUGGCAGAUCAACUUUUUUUUUCGAAGUACGUCAAUUUUGUUUGGCAAUAGUUCAUCGUGUUCCCAUCAAACUUCUACGCCUAAUGCUUUGUUUACUAACUCGAUUAGAAUCAAUUUUCCUAGGGAUGUGUUAGCUGUUGAACAAGUCAAUUUGCUGUAUUAUAUAUGUAGGUUCACUUUUAGUACUCAUCCGGAGACCAGAUAUAUAAUAAAAAUAUUUUUGAUCUUCAUGUUACCAAUAAUAUAAAUGAUUGUUUUAAUGUAUCUUGUUAUUGUAAAGUAGAGCACUUUGUAUUGAUAUUUGCACAUUGAGACAUCCAAGGUCAUUUAUACUUAAGUCGGCCUUUAUAAUUUGUUGUGACGUUUCUGUACUUUUUCAAAAGGUUAGACUGCGAUUUUUCUCUCGUUGUUAUUUAAAUGUUAAUGUAAUGAAAGAGGAAUGUCUCACCUUUACUUAAUGAAUUUCUUCUUUUCCCUUUUUU